CAGCUCUGUUGGAUAUUCCUUGCUGAUCAAGAAGGAGAAAGCAAUCAAAGUGCAUCCUAAUCGUGUGACUGUAGGCAACGGCCCUUCCUUUGGCUGGGUAUUUAUGGCUGACUUCUUAAGUGCAUUGGCCAAGAAGUUGAAAAAGAACAGCACAGCCAUGGAAAAUUACAGACGUAUCUUUGUACCUCCAGGUGUCCCUCUGAAGAGUGAGAAAGAUGAACCCCUUAGGGUCAACAUACUCUUCAAGCACAUUCAGCAAAUGCUAAGUGGAGAACACUGCAGUAAUUUCUGAAACUGGAGAUUCUUGGUUCAACUGUCAGAAACUUCGCCUUCCCGAGAAUUGUGGGUAUGAAUUCCAGAUGCAGUAUGGAUCUAU
rnacentral:misc_RNA from 1 species